UACGGGGGGGGCAAGCGUUGUUCGGAAUUACUGGGCGUAAAGGGCUCGUAGGCGGCCAACUAAGUCGGACGUGAAAUCCCUCGGCUCAACCGAGGAACUGCGUCCGAUACUGGAUGGCUUGAAUCCGGGAGAGGGAUGCAGAAUUCCAGGUGUAGCGGUGAAAUGCGUAGAUAUCUGGAGGAAUACCGGUGGCGAAGGCGGCAUCCUGGACCGGCAUUGACGCUGAGGAGCGAAAGCCAGGGGAGCAAACGGG
rnacentral:rRNA from 1 species